AGAAGGAAGAAGGACACUAUGCACAGGAAAGGGAAGGAGGAGGGACCAGCAGCAUACCUGCACAGGUCUGCCUUAGAAGGGGCUGCAGAAGUGGGGCUGGCCAUGAAAGUAAGUGGAAAUGGGAUAUAUUUAGAGAUGCUAGGGCUGGAAGAAGUUUACCUGAAUAUGUCUGGGGAAGAGAGUGACUGACUAGGGUUUGCACAGCCCCCUGUGAGAGCAGAGCCUGGGUUAAUUACACCAGGAGCUCUUGAACUGUGUGAGUUAGGAGCAAAGCAAGGCAAGGUGGAAGAAUCCCCCACUGGAAUCAAAUGCCCUCAAACCUGGCCAUUGGCCCCUGGUUGAGUGGUCAGAGAGCUACAGGAGCUGAGGAAGCACAGUCCUUGAGUACCUGGGCCUCAACCAUCUCCCAGGGGAUGGCACUGGAAAAGUGCCACUGUGGGAGGGGAGAGCUAAAACAUCAGUAAUAUGCUCUGCCUCUUCCUAAUUAAAUCUCAAAUGCUGAUGUGAGGCUUCUCUGCCUGCAAGCUAAGGCUGUGGUUCAGUUGUUCUAUGCUUAUUCAGCCAAACAUUCAAGCAUGUGGUUAACUUUUUGGCACAUGACUCAGUCCUUGGGACUCUGGUGGGACUAAAUCAUGUGCUUAACUCUUAGUUUGUGCUGAAGCACUUUGUUGAACAGGAAGGGGAUCUCCUGUAUAUUUGAAGCUGAGCGUUGGAGAGCUUGUCUGUGUCACAGCCAUCUUAUUUAUGGGAUAUCAGAAACCAGGACAGGACACCACCAUUAAGCAACUUCCUGUCUUAAAAGAACUACAGGUCUGCCUUUCCAAGAAAAUGCUUAAGAUCUCAGAGGAAAAGCUUUAAGAUUAUAAUGGAGAGAAGGACUGACUUCAAAAGGAUUUCGUACAGAUGCAGGAAAUAACCAUUACCCGUCCUCACCAAAAUUGUGUGUGUGUUUAGUCGUAACUGUAAAUUUGCUUUCCUGCAGUUUAAAGAUUAAUAAAAUUCCUGAUGAAGCCAGUCAAUAAGCACCAGUGUGUUGAAUCCAAAGAAGCAAAAGUAAAUAUUAUUUCUUCCUG